rnacentral:misc_RNA from 1 species
UACGGAGGGUGCAAGCGUUAUCCGGAAUCAUUGGGUUUAAAGGGUCCGUAGGUGGACAAUUAAGUCAGAGGUGAAAUCCUGCAGCUCAACUGUAGAAUUGCCUUUGAUACUGGUUGUCUUGAAUCAAUGUGAAGUGGUUAGAAUAUGUAGUGUAGCGGUGAAAUGCAUAGAUAUUACAUAGAAUACCAAUCGCGAAGGCAGAUCACUAACAUUGCAUUGACACUGAGGUGCGAAAGCGUGGGGAGCAAACAGG